rnacentral:piRNA from 1 species
UUUGGGUCUCGGUUAUAAGCGAGAAAAUGC